CGGAGGGUGCAAGCGUUAUCCGGAUUCACUGGGUUUAAAGGGUGCGUAGGUGGGCAAGUAAGUCAGUGGUGAAAUCUCCGGGCUUAACCCGGAAACUGCCAUUGAUACUAUUUGUCUUGAAUACUGUGGAGGUCAGCGGAAUAUGUCAUGUAGCGGUGAAAUGCUUAGAUAUGACAUAGAACACCAAUUGCGAAGGCAGCUGGCUACACAAAUAUUGACACUGAGGCACGAAAGCGUGGGGAUCAAACAGGAUUAGAUACCCUGGUAGUCCACGCCCUAAACUAUGGAUACUCGACAUUUGCGAUAAACUGCAAGUGUCUGAGCGAGAGCAUUAAGUAUCCCACCUGGGAAGUACGAUCGCAAGAUUG
rnacentral:rRNA from 1 species